GAUGAACGCUGGCGGCGUGCCUAAUACAUGCAAGUCGAGCGAACAGACGAGGAGCUUGCUCCUCUGACGUUAGCGGCGGACGGGUGAGUAACACGUGGAUAACCUACCUAUAAGACUGGGAUAACUUCGGGAAACCGGAGCUAAUACCGGAUAAUAUAUUGAACCGCAUGGUUCAAUAGUGAAAGACGGUUUUGCUGUCACUUAUAGAUGGAUCCGCGCCGCAUUAGCUAGUUGGUAAGGUAACGGCUUACCAAGGCAACGAUGCGUAGGCGACCUGAGAGGGUGAUCGGCCACACUGGAACUGGGCCACGGUCCAGACUCCUACGGGAGGCAGCAGUAGGGAAUCUUCCGCAAUGGGCGAAAGCUUGACGGAGCAACGCCGCGUGAGUGAUGAAGGUCUUCGGAUCGUAAAACUCUGUUAUUAGGGAAGAACAAAUGUGUAAGUAACUAUGCACGUCUUGACGGUACCGAAUCAGAAAGCCACGGCUAACUACGUG
rnacentral:rRNA from 1 species